rnacentral:lncRNA from 10 species
CUGAGAGGCUGCUGUCCUCCGGCCUGCACCCAGCAUUGUCUUUGGGCAGGAGCUGAUGCCUGCACUGCAUCCCAGGGCUGACCCGACAGGGCUGAUGCCGGCGGAGUCCAACAAAACACCUCCCUCUGCAUGGGUGCUGCUCUCCUGCUUGAGAAUGGAACAGCCACCCUGACAGGAGCCCAUUAGAAAACUGAAAUCUGGCACUUACGUUUGGGGUGCUCCUCUGUCUGCUACAAGCAUUUUACAUCCCUUGAAGCUCCAGCUGUGGUGAGACUGUACCUUACGACGGAGCGAUUGUGGUGAAUUCAGGUGCAGAGCCGCCUCACUCCUCUCCGCAGAGAGACAGACAGAGCGAGGCUCGGAAAAGUGCAGAAGGUGACAGAAGCUGGGCUCAGGUGUGAGCGUGACCAACUUGUUUUGAGAAGUGCAGAUGCUGUCCUCUGAAGACACCCGACCUAGACGGAGAUGGAGUCCAGAGCCAGCAGAGACCCUCAGCGAGGCACAACCUACCCUCCAAACAAAACGCCCAUCCUGCCCUUCUCCAGGCCUUCUCAGCGGCCACGAUCUGACCUCCUGAGGCUGUGGAUGGUGGAGACUGAUCGCUGGCUGCGUGGCCCCUGCCGACGUGAGGGAGACUUAGCAUGAAAUCGCCCCGGAUGCCCGGGAGGCUCUCCCAACAUGAGCUAUAAAAGCUGACCAAACACCACACCCCACGCUCUCAAAGCUGCCUCCCAUAUCAUCAACACCUGGACGCUCCUGCCCCAGCCUCCGACCAUGCCGCCAUUCCCUCAGGGUCCCCGAGGCCCCCACCCCUCUGGGAGUCCCGCGCCGUCACGAGUGGUCACAGCGGAUGGGCGCCAGCCCUGGUCACCUUAAGCAACCAGCUCGCCAGGCUUCCCCGUGGCAUCUGGAGAAAUGGCUCACCACCUGCACCCCACGCCAAGCUCAGGUGGCAGAGCAAGUAAGGAUGCCCACAUUCCCGAGAUGGAGAAAGUGCUGCUGAGCCUGGGACCUUGGUUUGUUUUGGCUUUUUGAAAAACUGCAAAUCUCUGGCUUCAAGGAAUGGGCUCAGGUGAGGUCCGAAUCAAUGGGAUGGUAACCCACUGCCCUGGGAGGACCUUGUCCCCAGGUCAGCCUUCACACCCUGUCCUCCCACUCUGACAGGAGUGAGAAGAGAUGAUGAAGCCCCUGGCUGCAGGUCGGCUACUCUCCUGGUUACCUUUCUUCAUCUCCGAGAGAGCUCAUCCUUGAAGACUUAAAAAUAAAGAUAAAUAGGCCAGUGCCGUGGUUCACGCCUGUAAUCCCAGCACUUUGGGAGGCCGAGGUGGGUGGAUCACCUGAGGUCAGGAGUUCAAGACCAGCCUGGCCACCAUGGUGAAACCCCCUCUCUACUG